rnacentral:sRNA from 2 species
UGUGGUCAAGCAAACCUCGGUUUAACCACAAUGGCCAUCUAGAUUCGGAUGAAGAGGUUGGUCAUAAACUUCUAGACGAAGGGUAUAUAUGGCGACGCGAAAGAUCGGAUUGGGUGGGGACAUCAACCGAUAUAUCGGAUUGCAAUAGCCCGGGUGCGAUAAAUUGAGGUUACAUCUAGGACGUCAUGGCCCGUGCUUCCAGCGGACAGGAAAUGUGGCAGAUUGAUGUGGAAACUCACAUCUGUUAUUGAGAAUACGUAUCUACGUCUUGAGUUCUCUUCGCCUGGUAUCCCGAACUAUGGCCAAGGUCGGAGGAAACAAUAGUAUACUGUACGGGUCAACAGCAUCUGAGUAACAUUUGAGAGCUGUGUGGAGGUCCGCACACACGUUGUGCAUGGUUUGUAACAUGCAAACAAUGAUUUAUGGAACCUUUCGCAUCCACCCAAUGUGCGUUCUUAGACCGAACCUUGCUGUAUCGGUCGGAGAAAUGAGCGAUGGACAACGAAUAUAUAUGAAG